rnacentral:rRNA from 1 species
CCUACGGGCGGCAGCAGUGGGGAAUAUUGCACAAUGGGGGAAAGCCUGAUGCAGCAACGCCGCGUGAGCGAUGAAGUCUUUCGGUUUGUAAAGCUCUAUCCUCAAGGAAGAUAAUGACGGUACCUGAGUACGAAGCCCCGGCUAACUACGUGCCAGCAGCCGCGGUAAUACGUAGGGGGCUAGCGUUAUCCGGAAUUACUGGGCGUAAGGGGAGCGUAGACGGAUUGCAAAGUCAGAGGUGAAAGACUAGGGCUCAACCCUAGUAAGCCUUUGGAACUGGUGAACUUGAGUGUAGGAGAGGCAGGUGGAAUUCCUAGUGUAGCGGUGAAAUGCGUAGAUAUUAGGAGGAACACCAGUUGCGAAGGCGGCUUUCUGGACUGUAACUGACAUUGAGGCUCGAAAGCGUGGGGAGCAAACAGGAUUAGAUACCCGAGUAGUC